GGCCUUGCGCUCUUUGAGCGGCCGAUGUCAGAUUAGCUAGUUGGUGAGGUAAAGGCUUACCAAGGCGACUAUCUGUAGCGGGUCUGAGAGGAUGAUCCGCCACACUGGAACUGAGACACGGUCCAGACUCCUACGGGAGGCAGCAGUGGGGAAUUUUGGACAAUGGGGGCAACCCUGAUCCAGCCAUGCCGCGUGAGUGAAGAAGGCCUUCGGGUUGUAAAGCUCUUUCGGCCGGGAAGAAAUCGCAUGGGCCAAUACCCUGUGUGGAUGACGGUACCGGAAUAAGAAGCACCGGCUAACUACGUGCCAGCAGCCGCGGUAAUACGUAGGGUGCGAGCGUUAAUCGGAAUUACUGGGCGUAAAGCGUGCGCAGGCGGUUUUGUAAGACAGGCGUGAAAUUCCCGGGCUUAACCUGGGAACUGCGUUUGUGACUGCAAGGCUAGAGUACGGCAGAGGGGGGUGGAAUUCCACGUGUAGCAGUGAAAUGCGUAGAGAUGUGGAGGAACACCAAUGGCGAAGGCAGCCCCCUGGGUCGAUACUGACGCUCAUGCACGAAAGCGUGGGUAGCAAACAGGAUUAGAUACCCUGGUAGUCCACGCCCUAAACUAUGUCAACUAGGUGUUGGGUGGGUAAAACCAUUUAGUACCGUAGCUAACGCGUGAAGUUGACCGCCUGGGGAGUACGGCCGCAAGGUUAAAACUCAAAGGAAUUGACGGGGACCCGCACAAGCGGUGGAUGAUGUGGAUUAAUUCGAUGCAACGCGAAAAACCUUACCUACCCUUGACAUGCCAGGAACUUGCCAGAGAUGGCUUGGUGCCCGAAAGGGAGCCUGGACACAGGUGCUGCAUGGCUGUCGUCAGCUCGUGUCGUGAGAUGUUGGGUUAAGUCCCGCAACGAGCGCAACCCUUGUCGUUAAUUGCCAUCAUUUAGUUGGGCACUUUAACGAGACUGCCGGUGACAAACCGGAGGAAGGUGGGGAUGACGUCAAGUCCUCAUGGCCCUUAUGGGUAGGGCUUCACACGUCAUACAAUGGUCGGUACAAAGGGUUGCCAAGCCGCGAGGCGGAGCCAAUCCCAGAAAGCUGAUCGUAGUCCGGAUUGCAGGCUGCAACUCGCCUGCAUGAAGUCGGAAUCGCUAGUAAUCGUGGAUCAGCAUGUCACGGUGAAUACGUUCCCGGGUCUUGUACACACCGCCCGUCACACCAUGGGAGCGGGUUCCGCCAGAAGUAGGUAGCCUAACCGCAAGGGGGGCGCUUACCACGGCGGGGUCC
rnacentral:rRNA from 1 species